rnacentral:rRNA from 1 species
AUUGAACGCUGGCGGAAUGCUAUACACAUGCAAGUCGAACGGUAGAGGGGGCAACCCCUCGAGAGUGGCGAACGGGUGAGUAAUAUAUCGGAACGUGCCCAGUCGUGGGGGAUAACGUAGCGUAAGUUACGCUAAUACCGCAUACGAUCUAAGGAUGAAAGCGGGGGAUCGCAAGACCUCGCGCGAUUGGAGCGGCCGAUAUCAGAUUAGGUAGUUGGUGGGGGAAAGGCUCACCAAGCCAACGAUCUGUAGCUGGUCUGAGAGGACGACCAGCCAAACUGGAACUGAGACACGGUCCAGACUCCUACGGGAGGCAGCAGUGGGGAAUUUUGGACAAUGGACGCAAGUCUGAUCCAGCCAUUCCGCGUGCAGGAUGAAGGCCCUCGGGUUGUAAACUGCUUUUGUACGGAACGAAAAGGUCUCUCUUAAUACGGGGGACUCAUGACGGUACCGUAAGAAUAAGCACCGGCUAACUACGUGCCAGCCGCCGCGGUAAAAC